GGGGAUAUAGCUCAGUGGGUAGAGUGCUUGUCUCAAUCCCUACCACCACCACCACCAAAAAAAAAAAGGCAGCCUCAGGAUAAAGCAAGGUGUUAAGCAACUCAGUGAGAUUCUGUCUCUAAAUAAAAUAUAAAAUAGGGCUGGGGAUGUAGCUCAGUGGUCAAGUGCCCCUGAGUUCAAUCCCCAGUAUCCCCA
rfam:Ictidomys tridecemlineatus contig070496, whole genome shotgun sequence.